rnacentral:rRNA from 1 species
CCUACGGGAGGCAGCAGUGAGGAAUAUUGGUCAAUGGACGAGCGUCUGAACCAGCCAAGUAGCGUGAAGGAUGACUGCCCUAUGGGUUGUAAACUUCUUUUAUAUGGGAAUAAAAUGUUCCACGUGUGGGAUUUUGUAUGUACCAUAUGAAUAAGGAUCGGCUAACUCCGUGCCAGCAGCCGCGGUAAUACGGAGGAUCCGAGCGUUAUCCGGAUUUAUUGGGUUUAAAGGGAUCGUAGGUGGAUUGUUAAGUAAGUUGUGAAAGUUUGCGGCUCAACCGUAAAAUUGCAGUUGAAGCUGGCAGUCUGGAGUACAGUAGAGGUGGGCGGAAUUCGUGGUGUAGCGGUGAAAUGCUUAGAUAUCACGAAGAACUCCGAUUGCGAAGGCAGCUCACUGGACUGCAACUGACACUGAGGCUCGAAAGUGUGGGUAUCAAACAGGAUUAGAUACCCUAGUAGUC